AACGACUCUCGGCAACGGAUAUCUCGGCUCACGCAUCGAUGAAGAACGUAGCAAAAUGCGAUACUUGGUGUGAAAUUGCAGAAUCCCGUGAACCAUCGAGUUUUUGAACGCAAGUUGCGCCCGAAGCCUUUUGGCCGAGGGCACGUCUGCCUGGGCGUCACGC
rnacentral:rRNA from 1 species